UGCGAGAUAGCUCAGCUGGCAGAGCGGUCGGCUCUUGGACCGAUUGGACGUGGGUUCGAACCCCACUCUCGCUC
rnacentral:tRNA from 1 species